rnacentral:rRNA from 1 species
AGAGUUUGAUCAUGGCUCAGAUUGAACGCUGGCGGCAGGCCUAACACAUGCAAGUCGAGCGGUAGAGAGAAGCUUGCUUCUCUUGAGAGCGGCGGACGGGUGAGUAAUGCCUAGGAAUCUGCCUGGUAGUGGGGGAUAACGUUCGGAAACGGACGCUAAUACCGCAUACGUCCUACGGGAGAAAGCAGGGGACCUUCGGGCCUUGCACUAUCAGAUGAGCCUAGGUCGGAUUAGCUAGUUGGUGAGGUAAUGGCUCACCAAGGCGACGAUCCGUAACUGGUCUGAGAGGAUGAUCAGUCACACUGGAACUGAGACACGGUCCAGACUCCUACGGGAGGCAGCAGUGGGGAAUAUUGGACAAUGGGCGAAAGCCUGAUCCAGCCAUGCCGCGUGUGUGAAGAAGGUCUUCGGAUUGUAAAGCACUUUAAGUUGGGAGGAAGGGUUGUAGAUUAAUACUCUGCAAUUUUGACGUUACCGACAGAAUAAGCACCGGCUAACUCUGUGCCAGCAGCCGCGGUAAUACAGAGGGUGCAAGCGUUAAUCGGAAUUACUGGGCGUAAAGCGCGCGUAGGUGGUUUGUUAAGUUGGAUGUGAAAUCCCCGGGCUCAACCUGGGAACUGCAUUCAAAACUGACUGACUAGAGUAUGGUAGAGGGUGGUGGAAUUUCCUGUGUAGCGGUGAAAUGCGUAGAUAUAGGAAGGAACACCAGUGGCGAAGGCGACCACCUGGACUAAUACUGACACUGAGGUGCGAAAGCGUGGGGAGCAAACAGGAUUAGAUACCCUGGUAGUCCACGCCGUAAACGAUGUCAACUAGCCGUUGGGAAGCCUUGAGCUUUUAGUGCGCAGCUAACGCAUUAAGUUGACCCGCCUGGGGAGUACGGCCGCAAGGUUAAAACUCAAAUGAAUUGAC